GACGAACGCUGGCGGCGUGCUUAACACAUGCAAGUCGAACGGAAAGGCCCUGCUUUUGUGGGGUGCUCGAGUGGCGAACGGGUGAGUAACACGUGAGUAACCUGCCCUUGACUUUGGGAUAACUUCAGGAAACUGGGGCUAAUACCGGAUAGGAGCUCCUGCUGCAUGGUGGGGGUUGGAAAGUUUCGGCGGUUGGGGAUGGACUCGCGGCUUAUCAGCUUGUUGGUGGGGUAGUGGCUUACCAAGGCUUUGACGGGUAGCCGGCCUGAGAGGGUGACCGGCGCAGGGGGGGCGGAGGGAGGGCGGGGACGGCGACGGGAGGGAGGGGGGGGGAGGAGUGCGGGGUGGGCGGAGGCGGGAUGAAGCAACGCCGGGUGCGGGAUGGCGGCCGGCGGGUGGGAGACCGGAGGCGCCGGGGACGAAGCGGGAGGGACGGGAAGGAGUAAAGAAGCGCCGGCUAACUACGUG
rnacentral:rRNA from 1 species